GCCCUGCUGAAGAGUCCCACACUGGAACGAAACAGUUGUCCAGCGC
rnacentral:hammerhead_ribozyme from 1 species